UCUGAUCAGCCAUGCCGCGUGCAGGAGACUGCCCUAUGGGUUGUAAACUGCUUUUAUAUGGGAAGAAUAAGGCUUACGUGUAGGCUGAUGACGGUACCAUAAGAAUAAGCACCGGCUAACUCCGUGCCAGCAGCCGCGGUAAUACGGAGGGUGCAAGCGUUAUCCGGAAUCAUUGGGUUUAAAGGGUCCGUAGGCGGGCAUAUAAGUCAGUGGUGAAAUGCUGUGGCUCAACCAUAGCACUGCCAUUGAUACUGUAUGUCUUGAAUUAUUGUGAAGUGGUUAGAAUAUGUAGUGUAGCGGUGAAAUGCUUAGAUAUUACAUAGAAUACCGAUUGCGAAGGCAGA
rnacentral:rRNA from 1 species